rnacentral:lncRNA from 1 species
AAAAAAAUAAUUUAAAAUUUUUAAUUUUUAUAUUUUAAUAAAAAGUCUUCUUUUAUUUUUUAAAAUUUUUUAUCUGAAAAGUAAGAACUAUGAAAAGAGUAUUUUUCAUAAAAACUAUUUUCUCAAAAAUUAGUUUUUCAUAAUUUUGGGGGGAAGUAAACACCCCCUAAAGUAUCGUUUAUGCGAAAGUUUAGCAAGCCAAGUUCAUUAAAAAUAAAUAAUAAUAACACACCUAUUAGUAAGUGUGGCAAUCUAGCUCGUUGUUCGCGAGUAAGCUCGUGUUUAUUUCGAAAUGAGUUCGAGAUCGAAUCGCUUGUUUAGUAAACGAGUCGAACAUGAGCUGAAUUUUUCAGCUCGUUUAAUAAAUAAACCGAACAUAAGUUAGAAUUAGCUCACUCGUGUUCGGCUCAAUAACAGCUCGAAUACAUAUAUUUUACAUUUAUAUAUAUAUAAAUAAGUAAUGACUCCGGCUGUGAUGCUAUCGAUAGUACGAAGUAUUUGGUGCUAUUAAAUUUUCUGCCGUUAGAUUUACCUCUUUUAUCAUUUUCAUCCGUUCGAUUAUACUAUUCAACCAACUACCCACUCAAUCCUAAAGGGCCCACAUCAUCCUAACUACACAUCUUUUAAUUCAAUGGCAGAAAACUUAAUAGCACCAAGUCAUUGGUGCUAUUAAUAGUAUUCCAGCCUAAUUCAAUAAGUAAUUAUAUAAAUAUAAUACAGAUUGUUAUUAUUUAAUAUUUAGUCCAACCUAAAUAUAAAGCCCAACUCUAUUAUAAAAAGAUCCAUUUAUGUGUAAAGUUUCAACCAUUAAAUCAAAGUCUAAUAGGUAAGAUCUCGAAAAUUUAUAUCCUAUCUAUAUCAUUGCUAAUCUUUUAAUUUGCUGUUCAUGAGCCAACUCGUGUUUUACUCGUUAAUAAAUGAGCCGAACAGGAGUAAAUUUUUCGACUCAAUACUUUAAUAAGCCAGCUCGUGAUCGGUUCAUUUAUGAAAUGAGCGGAAUACGAGUUGAGCUCAAUUCACUCAUGUUCGGCUUUUAUUGAUACUCCUACCUAUAGGUCAUUUUGAAAGGGUUCCCUAAAUUUUAAUUUUUCUAACUUUCACACUUCCGCAAUUUUUUAUUUUUACAAUUAAGUAUUUUUUAUUAAUUAAAAUAAAAACUAUAUUAAAUCUGUGUGUGUUUUUUUUUUAACAAAUUUAAUAGUUUUGACCUUUUUUAUUACCAAAUAUAAGUAGGCUAUUAACAAGUAAUAGCUAAUAGAGCCAUUAUUUUUUUAAAAAAAUAAUUUACCUAAUUAGAAAAAUUAGGCCUUUUUUGCAUAAAAAAUUUACUAAUUUUGGGCUUUUGCAAAAUUUGGUCGUCUUUUUCGAUUUUGCAGAUUCGGUCCGAAUUUUCAGUAAACUGACCAAAAUACCCUUAUUACUUUUUCUCUCGUUCUUUUUUUCUCUCUCCGAAGAGGGCAGCGGAGGUGGAGGCCGAAACAGCCCGCCUCGCCUCUGCCCCGCACCCCCUCGCCCUCGCCAGUGCACCCCCGCCCUCCUCGCCUCCGACCCUGCUGAAGCAAUGCCGCGACCCUCCUUCUACACUAGGGCACGAUGACGUCGAGGUGCAUGAUGAGUUUUUGAUGACUGAAAUUGUAACUGAAACUAUGACUGUGACUGACUAGUUCUUUAUUGCAUAUCUUUGAAUCUUGAUUGUGUAUUUUGGAGAAUGUGUUUUGCAGGAGCUUUCAAGACUUCAAGACUCCAUGUCAUGUCUAAGUCAUAAAGUUUGUUUUAGGAUGAGUAAAUGUAAAAAAUGUAAUUUCUUUUUAUUGGAUCGAUCAUGCAGGGGAUUGUCAUUUAGUGAUUGCGAUGAUCUUUUGUUUUUUUUUGUUUUUGAGACUAGGAUGAGCAUUGUAUUAGAUUUUGUCAUGAAAUCGCCAAAGGGGGAGAUUGUUAAGGACUUUUCUACAUUUGCGGAUUUCGUGAAGUUGAAUGGAGUCUUGAAGAGUUGAAGACGAAGAUUGUGUGAUUUGUGAUGAAAAGACUCGUUCGUGAUACUUAAUAUCUCAGGUAUGUGUGUUAAUAAUUUGUGGUGAAGUUCUGCACAUGUAAAAAUAUUUGGAAGACUUAGAUGGAUUUUAAAUGUUAAAAACUGGAGAAAACUGAGCUUUUCGAGGUUCGGGAUCCGGACCCUAAGUACAGGGUCCGGACUCCGUAGGUCCUCUUUGCAUAUACGCAGUGAGGGUCCGGACCCUCGGGUUAGGGUCCGGACCCCGUAUGUUGUAUUUUCUGAUACGCAGAGAGGGUCCGGACUCUGGAGUCAAGGUCCAAACUUUCAAGGUCCGGACCCUGCGGGAGGUCCGGACCCUGAGACCGUCUUUUGUUUUUAAAACUUGAUUUUUAAAACCUAGUCUAUCUCUAAGUCUUCUAAACCUAUAAAUAAGUUAUGAGGAGCGUCCUAUUACAUAUGCUUAGAAUUAAAAACUUUUAGAACCCUAAAAACUUGUUCUUGGAGCUUUUCGAUCUAUAUUUUAAAAACAAGUUUUGCUUUUCGAUCGUCAACUCGAUUCUAGAUUUCUAUUCCAAUGUUUCAUUAAGAAUCAAGUUGAUGAUGGAUUGAAAGGGUUCUCCUCAUAUCUUAUGGUUUUUCUAAGAUAUUGAAUCACCACCAAUUAUUAUUUUCUACGAGCUCCGGAUGGAGUGUUUGCGCGAGGGCUUCCCGUAAGGCUGAGGAUUCGGUGGACGCUCGUGGAUUCGAGACAUUGUUGCUGCGAGGAGUUGCGGUGUGAUCGAUUGGAGGAGUUCGAUCGAUCGAGGACCGGCGAAGACGAUCUACGACGAGGAUUCGAUAAAAGUUGGGUUGUAUAUUUAGUAAAUCACCUUGUACUCAAUUUUUAAUAGUGGAUUGUUUCUUGUGAUCGGUCCCAUGAGUUUUUUUACUCCGAGUUGAAAUUUUUCCACGUAAAAUCUUGAUAUGCUGAUUUUAAUUUUCCGCGCUUAGUUUUAUUUGGCAUCGAGAAUUUUUAUUUUGUCGUUUAUGUGAGAUAUGGAUCCCAAAGAUCUAAAAGGUAAUCAACACCUAGAAGGGGGUGAAUAGGUGUAAACGACAAAACGAAAAUUCUCGAUGCAAAAUAAAACUAAAUGCGGAAAAUUAAAAUCAACGUAUCAAGAUUUUAACAUGAGAAAACUCCAACUCGGAGUAAAAAACCCACGGGACCGAUCACACGAAAUAAUCCACUAUUAAAAAUUGAGUACAAGGUGAUUUACCAAAUAUACGACCCAACUUUUACUGAAUUCUUAUCGUAGAUCGUCUUUGCCGGUCCUCGAUCGAUCGAACUCCUCCAAUCGAUCACGCCGCAAAAUUUCGCAGUAACAACGGCUCAAAUCCACAAGCGUCCACCGAAUCCACGGCCUCAUGCGAAGUCCUCGCGCCAACACUCUAUCCGGAGCUCAUAGAGAAUAAUAUUUGGUGGUGAUUCAAUUUUUUAGAAAGAUCAAAAGAUAUAAGGAGAAACCUUUCAAUCCAUCACCGACUCGAUUCUUAAUGAAACAUUGGAAUAGAAACUAAGAAUCGAGUUGAUGAUCGAAAAACAAAACUUGUUUUAAGACAUAAUUCGAAAAAGCUUCAAGAACAAGUUUUUAGGAUUUCUAAAGGUUUUUCUUUGUAAGAAUAUAUCAUAGGAUGCUCCUCAUAACUUAUUUAUAGGUUUAGAAGAUUUAUAGAUAGAUUAGGACUUAAGUACACGAUUUUAAAAAUGAAAAUACGGUCUCAGGGUUCGGACCUUGAAGCCAGGGUUCGAACCCUAACCCGAGGGUCCGGACCCUCGCUACGUGUUAAAAAUCCAACCUAUGGGGUCCGGACCCUAGCUCCAGGGUCUAGACCCUCAUUGCGUACACGCAGAGGGGACUUACGGGGUCCGGACCUUGCAAUUUAUUUAAAAUAGUGCAAAUUUUUUUUAAAAGUGUAAUUUUUUUUUAAACAGUGCAAUUUCAUCAUCUUCUUCCUUCAUCUAUAUUUUUUUGUCAUCAUUUUUUUAUUUUUUUUUCUACAAUUUUUUUCGUCGUGCCUCUCCGCCACGACCACUGCGCUGGCGACAACGCCGCUAAGGACUUCCCGCUUUGAGGUUGUAGCGUCGCAGCGACCUCCGCGGCGUCAGCGUCGGCAGAGAGGCGUUGUCGUCGGAAAUGGCUAAGGAAGCGAAGGAGGGAGAGGGAAAGGGCGAGAAAAAGCGGGGAAGGGCAAAAGAGGCGUCGUCGUCGGAGAAUGUGGAGGAGGGUCGGAGAGGGGAAAAAAAAAAAGAGUCACAGCGCGGCCUUGAUGAGGUCGAAGGCGAGGAAGGCGCAGGAUGUGCGGGCGAGGGCGAGGGCGAGAGCAUAAGGGUGAGAGGGGAGGCGGGCCGUUUCCGCCUCCGCCUCCGCCUCCGCCUCCGCCUCCGCCUCCGCCAUUGUUGCAGAGAGAGAAAAAAAAGAGCGAGAGAAAAAAAGAGAAAAGAGAAAAAGUAAUAACAGUAUUUUGGUCAAUUUGCUAAAAAUUCGGACCGAAUCUGCAAAAUCGAAAAAGAUGGUCUAGUUUUGCAAAAACUCAAAAUUUAUGAAUUUUUUAUGCAAAUUGGCCGAAAAAUUAAGACAACAAAAUGAAAACUUAAAAAAGUGUUAAUCAAACAAGCUUAAAUUUAAGGAGGCCAUUUGAGAAUGGCCUAUGAGAGAGGAGUUUUUUUAUACAUUUUCUAUCUAUGUUUAAAAUAUGAAAAAAAUUGUUUUUUGGAAAAAAAUUUAAAUAAUCUCAUAUACUAUAUUCGAACAAAAUCCUUCCAAAGUAGACGCACAAUAAUUUUUUUUCCCCUUCAAAAUAUGAGGUCUUUCAUCGCGUAAUUAGUAAACGCCAAUCCUUAAGGGUGUUUAGUUUUUCGAAAAAAAAAAUCUCAAAAAGUAGUAUUUUGACCGGAAAAGUAUUUUUCUUGUGAGUGGUUUUAAAAAAAAACUAGUUUUUCUUAUUUUUCUGAUUUUUUUAUUUUAUAAAAGGUCUUUUUUAUUUUCUGAAUUUUAUAUUUGAAAAUUGAAAAUUAAAAACUACUCUUUUUCAUAAAAUUUAAUUUUCUUAAAAAAUAGUUUUUAUAAUUUUGAAGAAACCAAAAAUAACCUUACACCCCUUUAUCAAGAAAUCAAAUCUCAAGGCCAAAUUGCACAUUGGUCGUCAAGUUAUGAGUUGUGACACUUUAGUCCUUAAAUUUUAAUUUGUUAUAGUUUUUGGCUCAAACUUCAUAAACUAUUACUAUCAAAUCCUGCAAAAUAAUUUAGUUGAUCAAAUACUAAUNAAGAAAUCAAAUCUCAAGGCCAAAUUGCACAUUGGUCGACAAUAAUUAAGAUGUCCUUAAAUUUUAAUUUGUUAUAGUUUUUGGCUCAAACUUCAUAAACUAUUACUAUCAAAUCCUGCAAAAUAAUUUAGUUGAUCAAAUACUAAUGGAUCAUUGAUAUAAAAAUUAUACGACAUCUUAAUUAUUGUCAUAUUAUCAAUCACAAUAUUGUUAUAUUACUUUCACAUAGCCAACAAAUUAAUACUUAGUUAACUAAAUUAGGUUAUGUGACUUUAAUUAUAAGAAAUUAAAAAAUUUAAGUCAUAAAUUGUAAUAAAUUAAGGACCAAAGUGUCAAGGAACUCAUAGUUUGAGGACCAAACGUGCAAUUUAGUCUGUCCUUAAUAACCUCUAAAUAUCUUAAAAUUCGAGUUGACAUGGCCAAUUGAAUCGCUCUAAUCAUGACCUAGUUUACAAGCUGGUUUGAUCCAACUAAUAAAAAUGAACUGGCUUAAAAUUCACUUUGAUCUAUUCAGGCAAGUGGUUCAAGCAGUGAACUGGUGAACCAAUCAAAUUCUUUUUAUUUUAUAUUUUAAUAAUUUGCGCUAAUUUUUCAGUAAUUUAUACUGUGGAUAUAUUUUUAAUUAUAUAUAAUAUAAUAAUAUUUUAAAAUAAUAUAAUACUAUAUUUAUUUUAUUUUUAUUAUAUAUAAUAUAUAAAAUAAAUAAUUAAAUAUUUAUGAUGUUAUGUUGGUGUCAUUAAGUAAGAACAUAAAUAGUUUCGGAGUUUAAAUCAAGGCUAAAAUAAAAAGGCUCCCUUAAAAAUAUAAGUUUUUUUUUUACUUUUUCUUCCUAAUUUUCAAAAGUCAGUUUUUUGUCCCUUUAAAGUGUAAAAAAUAUUUUCAGAAAAGUACGCCUUAAUAAAGAGAGCAAAAUAAUCAAAUUAUCCUUACUUUUUUUAUAAAUAAAAAAUAAUAUUUUAAUAUAUAUUUUUAUUAUUUUAAAAAAUAUUUUUUGCUAUAAAUUGUAUGUAAUAGACGAAACAGGAAUGAACUCCGAGAGAGAGAGAGAGAGAGAGAGAGAGAGAGAGAGAGAGAGAGAGAGAGGGAGGGGGUAAAUGCAAUAAUUUGAAUUGUAAUGAAACUCCGACGGAGAGAGGAUAAAUGCAACCAUUUGAAUUAUUGAGCCCCUACAGAAUAUAUCAAAACCACCUAAAAUAGCGGUGGUACCGAAGAGACCAAAUUGCAAUAUCGGACUAGUACAAGGACUCCGUACGUUUUGCUCCUUCUCCCUAAUAUUUUAGCCCUUAUUGCUGCGGCAUUCGACCCCGACUCGACCCUAUGUGAGAUAAGGAGAAACCCAAUCGGAAUUCGAUCCAACACGAACGAUCGGAAGAGAGAGGCGACGAAGAGCGGCGCACGGAGAGCGAGAGCGCGGGAGCGAAAUCUAACCCUAAACAGGCGAAUCGGAACCGAUUCUUCUUCUUUUUCUUCUUCCUCGUCCUCGAUCGAUCUCCGCUGCGGCGGGGGCGUCGGCACCGGCGAAGAUGAAGACGACCAAGGGAGGGAAGGUGAUGAACCCCACCGACGCCUAUCGGAAGGAGCUCCGCAAGAAGGAGCUUAAAAGGGUGAGAUUUUUUAGCACCUAGGGUUUUGUGAUUUUUUGGCUCAUUUUUUGAUCUUCCUUUGAGUUGAAUUAUUUGAUUAGAUGCCAUUGAUGGUGUUUUUCGUACUCAGGAUGAUAGGUAACGUUAGGUUCAUUUGAUAUUUGAGCUAAUUAGGGUAAAAAGAUCUGUUCUUUUUGUCAUUUUCCUAGUAAGAGUUGUUUUAAUUGAACAUCUUAUGCCCGAAAUUUGUUUGUCUAGAUAAAAUGUGCGAGAAGAAUAAGUCCCACGAUUGAUUAACUUUUUCUGUAAAUUUAUUGUGGCUAAGGCUGUAUGAUUAGAUGUUAUGUAGGGUUUUAUGUGUUGCAGGCGUAGUAGUAUAUGAUGAUUAGAUGCUAUAUAGGGCCUUUUUGAUGUCGACAAGUUACCACUGCUAACUUGUGUGUCGUUAAAAUUUCUUUUGUGGUUGCAGCAUAGGAGAUUGAAUUUAGUCCUAAAAGGUUUUCCGUGAUCAUAAUUUUUUAGCUUAAUACAUUUCACCUAUGUGGUAAUUUAUCAUAUUCGGAACAAAUGACUUGAAGGCGGUAUAUACUUGUGCUGUAGUAGACAUCGUUUUGCCCUCUUGGUGUAUCAAUCACUACAUAUCUUUUGAAAGUGCAAUUAAGAUAUGCUGAACAGGACAUUUAUGAGUCCAACCCCUAGUUGAUGUAUGUCCUAAUGAAUUUUUGUUGAUCAUAACAAAUUUUGUUUUGCAAGAGACUUAAUUUCCAAGAGGUUGGUCUCCUCUUUGGGAAAUAUCUGUAUGCACACACUUCUACUAAGAGGAGGUAUCAACCCUUUGUUUCCUUAGUUGCAGUUUUCGAUUUGAUAAGAGUUUUCUAUUAUAAUCUUACUUUACUGUAAGUGAGUAAUCUCUGAAUCUUCAUCUGGUAGUCUGUUAUUUUCUUUCUUUAGGUACUGUUCUUUAGGUACUGUUACUACUAGAUUUUUAAUAUGUUUAACUUCCAUCUCUCUUUAUCUAUCACAGUUUUUAUAUAUGGUUAGCUUCCAUUUCUCCGUUUUCUUUCUUGCUGGCUGAAGCUAUCGUUGAUAUUCACAGUUUUAUGAUUAAUAAGUGCUUCUAUCUCUUAUUUUCUUUGCUAUUUAACAGAACAAGAAAGAAAGAAAGAAGGUGAGAGAGGUGGGGAUCUUAAAGAAGGAUCCUGAAGCCAUCAGGGAGCAGAUUGAGAAAUUGGAAAAGAUGAGUAAGUAAACUUUGUCUGCGACCAUCAUAUUCAAGAUUUCUUGUUCUUGGUUCCUAUUUAAUCAGUAUUUAAUAAAAUUAAGCACGUAGCAUUUCUUUUUCCUCCAUGAUGUUGAACAUUAUGUUGCCCAAUGGUGAGGUCCAAUUGGUUGAGGUCUGCUACAAACUUUACAACUCUCAGCCUAACAGGAACAAUUUGAACAUAUCUGGCAUCCAUUGGCCUGUCGUCACAAUCUGAUUGUGCCGAACUUUCCAACAACUUUACAUAAGGGUGAAUUUGGUCAAAUUUAACUUGAAUUGACUCAGACCAAACCUUUUAACAGCGGAAAUGGCAUGUGAGUGUCCAAGGCAUCUCAUUGUGCUUGUGCAACAUCUAUUUGAACAUGUUGGUGUGUACGUAUGGUCUGUAUAAGGCAUAUUCUACUUAAAUAAUAGAUAUGUAGGCGCACAUUAUGGAGCAGAAGCGAACCCUUGAAAGAGUAAGUUUACUUUCAUUUAUGUUUGGAAAAACCACUGAGAUUUAUUUGUGUUAUUUGAUGUCAAUUGUUUAAGUAGCUAAUUAUCUAGAUGCCAUGUUAUCCUUUGUACUCCUAAUAUUUACCAGAGUUACUUUUAUUCACUGAUGGUAAGGAUCCCCUUCCAGAUAAGCAUAUAUGAGUGCAUAUACUGUUGUUUAAAAAGAAGAACGGGGCACACACCUAAUAUGGCUGAUUUGGCUCGAGCCAUAUUGACUUUGAUUUUACUCAACCUAAUUUUUUGGAAUGUUUCAUUAUUUUUUCCAGCUUACUAUAAUUCGAAAAGUUAGGUUAGAUAUUUGACAUUAUUACAAAAGGGCCCAUAUUGUCUUUUUCCAUGGUUUGAAUUUGGAAGAGACUGGCUUUAGGAAGCUGAUGAAUAUUGAGACUGUCCCGAGAUAAUGCUUUGCUGCUCUUCUGGGUACAUGUCCUAUCCAUUUUAAGCAAUAGAGAACGAAAACAGCAUCUUGAGCUUUGGACUUUAGUGUUCUAAUUGAGAUCCAAGUGAUUUUUAAUUUUUCAUUUCAUUUAUUUUUUAAGAAUGCAGCUUGGUAAUGCUCAUCGUUUGGACUCUUAGUAUAACACAUUGUUUUGUAUGUAUUCAUUUGUGUUCAUGUAUGCUACUAAGGUGGCGGAGUCCCAAGUUACCUGACAAGAUGGUAUAGUCAUUCAUUUUUAGAAGAUCUGUCAGUCUGUUGGACAUUUGGACAAGGCACAUCUAAAAUUUCUGAAAAAGUAAGAGUGUUGGCUACGGUUUUGGUAAUGUAUUGUUCUGGAUUAACUUGCCUAACGAACAACUUAUUCCUAGUCUUAAAUUUUCAUUUAAUAACUUAUUUAAUUGUAGGAAUUGAUUUAACAUUUUUUAUUGCUUGGCAAUAACAUAACAAAAAGAAAAGAAUAAAACAAGCAGGUCUAGUUGUUUCAUAAUGGGUCUUAUUUAAAUACACCUGCUAUAGUCAGUGCAGUUGGUCAUGCAACCUGAGCUUAUGAUUGUCUAUUUUCACUAUUUGAAUUUCUCUUGGUAAUUCAACCAAAGUAUAUCCAGUCUCCUAAGUUCUUAAGAAAGUAUAAGAUGUGCAUUGUCUGUGAAGAUAUAACAUAAUUGGCUAGUGACUAAUUAUUCAUGUAGGCUCUUUGCCCACGAGUAAAAGAAGAUACAUUACAUGCGGACACUGCUACUUGAGCUUUUACUAUCUUGAAAUAAGAUGAGCAUGUGAAUUUUAAUGCUUAUGUCUGAUUUGGGCAGAGGCAGAAGGUGCUCUUGACAAGGCAAGGAAGCACAAGAAGAGGCAACUUGAAGACACUUUAAACCUAAUUUUGAAGAAAAGGAAGGUACUUAACUACUCUCUUUUAAAUCUCGUCUUUGAACUUUAAUCUUUGGUGCUUCUCUUUUUUGUGAAGCUAAAGAUAGCAGUACAAUAAGUGUUUUGUUCAUUUGUAUUUUAGUAUUCAAAUGGUGGUUUGACUAGAUAGAACCUCCCAUUUUGCUUGUGUUUUUUCUAUUCUAGAUUCUUUCUCAUCAGAUGCUGACUUGAAAUUAUUAUCAACUUCUGUAUAUCUUGUUACUUGUUUGUUAUUCUUUAAUGGGUUAAUUACACUAAUGGUCCCUAACCUUUACACUGUUUUUCAAUUUGGUCCCCAACCUUUAGUUUUUUGCAAUCAAGUCCCUAAUCUUUUGAUUUCAUUUCAAUUAAGUCCCAGCUGUUAGAUAACUGUUAAAAUUGACGGAAAAUGCCACGUCAGCGCCACGAAGGCGCCAUGUCAGCGCCAUGGUGGCGCUGUGUCAGCGGAUUGCAAAAAAAAAAAAAGGUUGGGGACCAAAUUGAAAAACGGAGCAAAGGUUGAGGACCAAUGGUGUAAUUAACCCAUUAAAUUUAUAAAUUCAAAAAAAAUUUAAAUUUAAUAUUUAAAUUUUAAAUUUAAAUUUUGAUUUUGGAUUCAAAUUUAAAUUGGAAUUCAAAUUCCGAUUUUGCAUUUAAUUUUAAAUUUUUAAUUUUAAAUUCAAAUUCACAUUUGGAAUUCUAAAUUCUAAUUUAAUUUCAAACUUCGAUUUGAAAUUUCAAAUUCAAAAUGUGAAUUUGAAUUCGAAGUUUAAAUUCAAAUUUAGAAUUGAAAUCAAAUCUUAAAUUCAAAUUUAAAUUUUGAAUUCAAAUUUAAAAUUUAAAAUCAAAAUUUUGAAUAUGAUUUUAAAUUUAAAUUCAGAUUUUAAAUUUAAAUUUCGGUUUCAAAACUUUCAUUUUAAAUGUAAAUUGAAAAAUCAAAAUCAAAAUCAAAAUUUUAAGUUUGAAUUCAAAAUUUAGAUUCAAUUAAAAAUUUAAAUUUAAAAUUUGAAUUUCAAUUCAAAAUUUUAAUUCAGUUUUAAAUUCAAAUUCAAAAUUCUAAUUUCUCGUUAGUUUAAAAUUUUAAUUUUAAUAUUAUUUUUGAAUUUAAAUUUAAAAUUUUGAAUUUUUAUUUUUAGGGACUAAAAUGAAAAAUGUGCAAAGUUUAGGGACCUAAAUUGAAAUGCAAAAGGUUGCCAAAUAGACGCUGACGUGGCAAUUCCGUUAAUUUUAACAGUUUUUUUAAUGGUUGGGACGUAAUUGUAAUAAAAUCAAGAGGUUAGGGACUCAAUUGCAAAAAAAAAAAAAAAGGUUGGGGACUCAAGUGAAAAUUGGUGCGAAGGUUGGGGACUACCAGUGUAAUUAACCCUUCUUUAAUCUCAGGAGUUCUUGAUCAUUCAACAUUUUAUUAUGUAACACAUUAAUUUCUUUUCGUAUGGAGUUGUCAAGUGCAUAUUCAUAUACAGCUAUCAGUUUAUUUUCCUUGAGAAGGAAUUUGGUUCCUAGUAGCAGAGAUUGCCGAAUGCUGAUUUUCCGUGAAAUCUGUGAAGCUAAUGAGAAUGCUCAAAAUAUCCCGAAAAGAUGUAGUGUCUUUUGAUUUAGUGAUUUGUUCUAACCAAUGAGAUACAUGAGGUGACAUCCAAAUGAAUUUAUGGUCCAAUUGGGGCAUCCAUGCAUGCCUGCAUAUAUCUAUGGAUUAAUGCUAACAACAGUGCCAUGAAAAUGUGUGUGAAGUGCCAAAGAAAUUAAAGAAAGAAUAAAAGAAAGAGAGGCUAUCUCUCAUUUAAAAAAGAUUUAUGGGAAUUGCUUCCCCAUAAAUUUUUCAAUCAUCCUUCUGUUUUAUGUAGGACCUGUGUUUGUGCAUGUUUUUUAUUUUGUUUACUGCAAUCAACCUUGUGUGCUUCUGUAACCCAUACUUAUCGCCUCUGCAUCAGCCUGAUCUUGCUUAGCACAUAACGUGAAUGCCAAAUGGAAGCUAAUAAAAGGCUUGACAAAUGAUGAAAGUGAACAAAAUUUUCAAGUAAAUGAGUUACCCAAAAAUUUUUCCUUUCAGUUUUUGGAAACUUUUGUUUCUUACAAGAUCUUUCCCAAGUAGAGACUUGCACUUUCUGCAAAAACAAACAAGAGCAGCGUGCUUAGUGAACUACUUGAAAGUGGGUGGAAUAAUUUUAAUUAUUGCACUCAAUCAUUUUGAAACUUUCAUAUAAGUUAUGUUAUGAAAAGUAGCAUUGAUAGGUUUCGGUUGAUAAGUUACAACUCUGUAAGAUUUGGUUUGGUGAGAUUUGAGCUUCAAAUGACAUGAUAGUAUAGCUGCACCAAUUGUUGUGUUAUAUGGUAGUUAUCCAAUAAGCUGGGUGGCAAAGACUUUCCUCAUGGUGGUUCUUGGUGCUUUACUUGAGUGAUUUAGUUAGACCAUCAUUCCUUUAGUAGGAUGUCACACCCUGAAUUACAACGGAAGCUCUUUCGGAAACGUCAACAGCCCUGUAGUAUGUACAAGACUUUCCUGCACAUAUGGAGCGUUCCAAAACAGGGACCUGUCUCAAUAAAAACAAAACAACAACAACAACAAUCCUAGUAGUCUACAACUAAGAUAAGGAGAACAGGUAUCAGAGUAUGAAACAACUAAACCAAAUGCAUCACUGUACAUCUACAACACAUCACAACCAUAUAUGAAAUAUACAUCCCAAGACUGUAUACAAAAAGCUGCUCCAGCAGCAAUACGUACAGUGAAAAACAAAAUAACUGGUGCACUCUAACUCGGGUUUGCUAUGAGGAGAUGUAUCUAGUCCACGGUCCCCUUACCUCGCUCAGCUAAAGUCGCUGAAGACUCUGAAAUAAAAGUCAACAAGGGAAGGCAUGAGAACUAUAUAAACAAUAGUCCUGUGCUGAUGGACAUCUCCCAUUGCAACCUCGCCAAUUUGUCAAGGUCCAGUACGCUAUAAAGGAUGAUGACUUUCUUAUAGUACUCACGGCAUUGUUCGAACUUAUAUUUCUUUAGCAUAAUAAUAGCAACCUCAGGUGUGAGGGAGCAAGAUAGAAUUGGCGAUUUUGAUGAAGCACAUGCUAAAGCGGUAAAACCUUAAUAUAAGGGUUGAGGAGGGAAAGGAUAAGUUUUGUUGGGAUUUUGGGGAUGAUAGCUCUAGUUUUGUAACAUCGUUUCUCCAUGAAUAACAUUGUCACUCCAUGAAACUUGACUGAUUUUCUCAAAAUUUUUCGAUUAUUUUAACAUUUUAUUUUGGCACAGGAAUAUGAGGAGAAGAUGCGUGAAAAAGGUGAGGCACCAGUCAUGUUCAGGUGAGAUUUUUUUUUUCUUUAAAUUGGUUGCUUAAACAAUUAUUUAUGAUAUGAAAUUCUAUGUAUCUUGAUUUGUAUGUCUUUUCUCCUAUGUAUAAUAUUUCUAGCCACCUGGGCCCCCCUCGGAGACGGUCUACUGCAGAUGAAGAUGAAAGAGUGAAGCAUCCUAAGCCAGAGGUCUGUCUAGCUCAACUCAUAUCAUUAUGCAGUCUUUAUGUUUGGACAUACUAACCAGCUUUAUAAUGCAGGAUUCAGUUUACUAUCAUCCUACUCUAAACCCAACAGGAGCACCACCACCUGGAAAACCUCCCAUGUACAAAUCAUCUAUAGGUCUUAUUCUUAUUCCCUGCUUCAUUUAUUUUCUUCUGUUUAUUUUUACUUUUUUUAUAAUUUAUUUUUUUUUUUCUCUAAUGUACUAUAGGGCCAAGGAUCCCAUUACCUCCUCCCUCAAGUGCUGGAGCAUCAUCUUCAAAUUCAGAGUUAGAAGAGGGAGGACCGUCAGUGCCACCACCCCCUCCACCACCACCACCACCUCCCCUGCUAGCCACCAGUGAACUCGCUUCUAGUGAUGAUUCUUCUGCUCCUCUAUCUAUACCUUUACCUCCUCCACCGCCUGCCCCACCUAAGCCCGCUGCAGAUUCACAAGUAUCAAUGCUGCCACCACCGCCUCCACCGCCUCCCGGUCCUCCACCCAAAGAACAAGUUGCAUCUCGUAUGGUGCUACCACCUCCUCCACCUCCACCGCUUCAGCGGCCUUCACAUUUGCCUCCACCGGGCACAUUUGUGAAGGUUGUUGAUAAUAGCAAAAGUGCAGCCUCAGAGGGGCUUAAUGUGAAAGAUUCUGGUCAGGUACUUAUAUUUAUCUAGAUUGUAAAUUGUGUAUCAUUCUGUAGCUUUGAUGUACUGAUCUGUAGUGGUUUUUGUAAGGGAAAAAGAUCAAAAAGCCUCCCCUGUGAUGUACUAUUUGAAGUUUACUACCUUGUGGUUCAAAAUGUGGCACUUUGUCCUCUAGGUUUCUAUUUUUGUUUUCUGCAAGGACCUUCCAUUCUAUAGUUAGCAAAGUGCUAGAAUUUAUGAACUGCAUGUUAAAGUUUUAAUUGCUGAGUAAUAAAGUGCUACAUUUUACCACCAUGUAGUUUAUAAAAUGUGGCACUUUACUACUAUUUUUAAUGGUAGCUCUUUGUGAAAAAGUAAAACGAAAAACACAUGGAGGCGAAGUGCUACAUUUUGAACCAUGGAGUAAGCACCAUUAAGUUGGAAAUCCGUACCUCUCCUAAUGGAUAUAUCCCAAGGAUUUAAGUGCCGUGGCGCAGGGUCGUGCUGUAAACUUGCCGGCACGGUACAACACGGUGCGUGCCGGGCCGUGCCGAUGCGUGUCGGUCACAAUUUUUGUGUGCCAACCCGUAAUGGCGUGAAAUAUUUAUUUUCUUUAGCAGGAAAAUAUGCCAAUUAUUGAUUAUAUAUUUUUAUCAAAUCUUUUGAAAAAAUUACUUACUAAUUUUAAGAAUAGAGAGUUUUGAGUUGUGCCAUCGGCACGGAGGGCUGUAUCGUGUCGAUAUCUUGCUGGCACGAUACAGCAUGGUGGAUACGGCCCGUGCCGUUGGGCACUUUAAUCCUUGAUAUAUCCUCUGGUUGCUUGCAAUCUUUCCUCCAUUUCCAAAUUUGUUUUAUCUUGUUACCCAGGUGGAGGAAUUACUUGUGAAAAAUUGGCUGUGACCUAUCUGUGUUCAUAGACAACAUUGUUCUCCUAAAUGCUAGUACUCUUUAACUUUAUGUUCAUUUACACCCAAUCAUCCUUUAAAUACAAAAAAGUCCUAAAAGGAUCUCGUCUUUUGCAGGGUUCGGCUAUGCUCCCUCCACCUCCGCCACCCCCUGGAUUGCCACCAACACCAACAAGCAUCCAGUCUGAUUCAACAUUAUCUGAAACAGAUCCAAACUAUGCUUUAGUGAGUGACAAAGCUAAAACAGCGCUGCCUCCACCGCCACCACCUCCAAUCUCUAACAGACCACCCUUGGUCCACGCUGUACCACCUGGAAUUCCACAGUUCCCCCCUCCACCACCGCCAUUGAUGGUUGCUGGAGUUCCAAAUAGACCUCUGCCACCGCCGCCUCCACUUCCUCCUGGAGUAGCUCUGCCACAAAUCCCCAGGCCACUUUUUGCUGGGCCCCCUGGGCCUCCUCCGGGUCCACCACCACUUGUUGGGCCACCAAUCAUGUUUGGACUUCCUGGACCUCAAGAUGAUGAUUUCACGGCCUUCAGGCCACCUGUACCUCAAAAGCCAUCAUAUGUGAAGUCAGCUGCAGCGACGGUCGUGAAAAGGCCAUUAGCUCAGCAUACACCGGAACUAACAGCAAUGGUAUGUUAUUGGUUUUAUGGUUGUGUUUGAAUUCCUUUUUGUUUGUGCAUUGCAUUACAUGACUUGGAAGCGUCAUUCAGUUUCUUUUAAAACUUCUACAUGAUUAUUGCAAUCCGUAGUACUGUUUCCUGCCAGAUAAAACCUAUCAUGUCCCUAAGAAACUGUGCAGAUACACAUUAGUUGUAGUGUAAAUAUUCAUCGAAAAUAACCGCUUCAAUUCAUCCUCUUAUUAUGGUUUCGUUUGUUCUGUUGGAACUCUUGUGCGUGGGUGUGUGCGGGGGCGCGCUCUUGUUAUACUGUAAAUGAUUGUUCAUUUGUGGUAUGAUUUUCCUGUUUUUUGCUUGAGCUGCUGCUUUUUCAAUGGCAAAAGUUGGAUAUUAGGACAUUAUAAUUAUCUGUGACGCAACUCAAACUCUCUUUCAUCUUAACUUUUUGUUACUUCAAUAAACAUUAUUGGUAUACCUCUAACUAGGAAUGCUGGAGUUGGCACCAGAGUCAUCAUUUUCGCAAUUUUACUGAUCAUUCAUCUAGUUUCCAUUUCUAGCUUGCUUAGAAUUAGGUAUUAUUUGCUCAUCAUUUGUUUGCUUCACCCUGAAGUGUGGUCGUUCAUUGGAACAGGUUCCUGCGUCGGUGCGCGUGAAGAGAGAGACAGCUGUUGCAAAGCUGAAGCCAAAGCCGCAAUCCUCUGCCCCGAAGCCGUCGGCCCUCAGUGCGAUUGGGAAAUCAGAGAUGGCAGCCACAUCGUCGGCGCCCAAGGGGCAGAGUAUCGACGACUCGUACAUGGCCUUCUUGGAGGACAUGAAGGCGCUGGGCGCACUUGACGAAUAAAAAAGACGCGGCGAAAACAUGGCAUCUUGCAAAGUAACAAAACCCUGGUUCAGGAAUUGGAAUAUAGGGGGCCAGCAGUGAUAGUGAACGUGAACUGUGAACUGGAUUACGUCUCUCUGAUGAAAUUAAUUUCCAUCUGCAUUUUACCAAUUUUGCCCCGGUGUGUAACGUUCAUUUGUGAUCCGACUUUAGGGGCAUCUGAACAUUGUAUGAUUUUUCUUCCUGGUGGCCCUAAUUAACAGGGGGAGUGGAAAAAGAUGUAUAUGAUGCUUGAAACUGGUAGCUGCGUCUCUUAAGCUCAUUCAGAUUUACUGUGUAAUUGAAGGCCUCCUACUCCGCCUUGUGAUAUCUUAAUAUUUAUCUGCAAAAAGUCGGGGAACUAAAUCACUCUUUUGGUUGAUAGAAGGAUCUAAUUCUGAUCUCUUGGUCAACUACCAAACAGGGGAAAAGUAGAUAUUAAAAUUCACCACCUUUUCCAUGAGCGACCUUGUUUUGACAUUAAAAUUCUACCAAGUUUUACUAGCAAUUCUUUUCCAACUUUAAUACCUUGUUUAGACGAAAAGAAUCAAAAAGCAAAACAAAGGAAAGUAAGUUAACACUGCGACUUUUUGCUACUCGGCGGAAAAUAGUAAGUGGCCUUCUACUCAUUUCUAUUAUUGGGAAAGGAUCAUUUAUUUUCUGUGUUUAUCCAGAUAAGAUGAGAAAUUAGUUUUUAUAUUUCUACCCUCUUUUCUCUUUUUCUUUUCUCCUCUUUUCUUUUAUUUAGAAGCUAUCCGCACAGACAUAAAAAAUUAUAGUAAAAUUUACAUUUCACUUGCUCAUCUCAUUUACUUUCCUACACCCUUUUUUUUAUACUUUUUUCCACAUAGGCACUUGAUAAACAUAAUACGUUUUCAGUAAAAUCAAUUACUGAGCAUUCUAAACUUUCCAAAAUCAAAGCCAAGAUAGAUGCAAAAGUGGGGGUAAAGUAUUCUCAAAAUUCUUGCCAUGUUGGGUUGGUUUCCGAAUAACCCUUUGGGAGCAACUGAGUAUAUGAUUGGAUGAUUGUAAAUUUUACAUGAAAUGAGCACUACCAAGAAGACUCCGUCCUAAUUCAGAUAAGCGAUCUUCUGCUUCUAAUCAAUCUUUAACUGUAAGAUGAAUAAUAUACGGUUGAAUUGUUAUAACUUUUAGGGUGCGUUUGGUUCGCGCUAUUUUUUAAAGAUUCCUAGUAAUCCAAUGAGAAUAAAAAAAUAUGACGGUGUUUGGCUAAACGCACUAAGUAAUCUAGUUGGUAAUAUUGAAUUCACUUGGGAAUAAGAUUCACCCCAAAGUACUAAUCUCAUUNAUUUACUUUCCUACACCCUUUUGUUUAGUACUUUUCUCCACAUAGGCACUUGAUAAACAUAAUAUGUUUUCAGUAAAAUCAAUUACUGAGCAUUCUAAACUUUCCAAAAUCAAAGCCAAGAUAGAUGCAAAAGUGGGGGUAAAGUAUUCUCAAAUUUCUUGCCAUGUUGGGUUGGUUUCCCAAGAACCCUUAGAGAGCAACUGAGCAUAUGAUUGGAUGAUCGUAAAUUUUACAUGAAAUGAGCACUACCAAGAAGACUCUGUCCUAAUUCAGAUGAGCGAUCUUCUGCUUCUAAUCAAUCUUUAACUGUAAGAUGGAUAAUAUGCGACUGAUUUAUUAUAAAUCUUAGGUGAAAUAAACAGAUUAAAAGAUAACUUUUUCAUAAUUUAGCUACCAUCCGUAGAUUGUUGACUUAUCAAUAAAGCGAAAGCACUGAAAUUGUGACAUUAAGAGAGACAAAAAUAUUGUUAGAAAUUGAUCUCAUUCAAUGAUUCUAUAGACUCUCUUGUAGCAAAUCAAAAGUGGUCUGACUUCACAUAGCUGUACUGACAUGUCCACAAAAGCAGCAAUGUAAAGUGUAAACACACUCUCUCACCCUUAUCACAACUCCAAGUGCAAUGAACUUACGAGUUAUGAACACGUCCAAAAAAGUCCCCCUGUCCUUUGUUUCUCUUUCCAACCAAGUCAAUGCCUUCUCCCACCAUCCACCCUUUUUUGGUCCUCAAAACCCCACUCUAGUAUUAUUAUUAUUAUUAUUUGAUCCACUUCUCUCUCACCCAUCCCUCCAACUACUACCAACAAAGCAAUUAAGCGAAGAUCCUACAAAUUUUAAUGGCCCCCUUCAACUCUCCCCUUUUUUUUUAUCCAUUUCUGCAGACACCACUUGAGAGAGCAGCAGUCUCUCUUCUUGUAUUUAUAUUAUUAUUAUAUACAUUAUAUGUGGGUUUUCCUCAUCACUUCAGUCAAAGCUCUUCUUCUUCUUCUUCUUCUUCUUCUUCUUCUACCCACUCUCACCUUAAUAAAACCCAUACUUCUUUGCUCUUUGAUACCACAUCAUCAUGUUCAAUAAGGGUUCAAAAGAGCCUUCAUUGUUAGGGACUAGGGUUUUGUUGAUGGGUUCUCUUCGUCUCCUCCUCCUCCUCCUCUUUUUCUUCAUACCCAACUCUUAUUCCUUCCCCUUAUGCACAGAUUCAUGUGGGUUUCUCCUCUUGUUCCCUUUUUCACUCUUGUACAUAUUACUCUCCUAGUAUUACGCUCAUGUGGGUUGUGUUCUUUUUUUUGUUUUUUGUUGUUGUUAAAACCCUUUUUGGUGAGCAGGGGCACCUGAGACACUGAAGGUGCCACUCACCUUCUGUUCUUACAAUGGCAGCAGCUGCUGCAACGCCACGGACGACGCCGCGAUCGAGAAGCGGUUCAAAUCGAUGAAAAUCUCCGAUACCGCUUGCUCCNAUAAAUUAAUUAAUUGUAUAUUUUUUGUAAUAUUAAAUAAUAUGGCUAAUUAAUAUUACCGUGCGAACCAAACACAGGAAUUCCACAUUCUUAGUAAUAGAAUGAAUAGGAAUAAAAUUUUCGGAUAUCUUUUAUUCCUCUUAAUUUUUUAUAAUGCGAACCAAACGCACCUGUAGGUGAAAUAGACAGAUAAAAAGAUAACUUUUUCAUAAUUUAGCUACCAUCCGUAGAUUGUUGACUUAUCGUUAAAGCGAAAGCACAGAAAUUGUGACAUUAAGAGAGACAAAAAUAUUGUUAGAAAUUGAUCUCAUUCAAUGAUUCUAGAGACUCUUUUGCAGCAAAUCAAAAGUGGUCUGACUUCAAAUAGCUGUACUGACAGGUCCCACAAAAGCAGCUAUGUAAAGUGUAAACACACACUUUCUCACCCUUAUCACAACUCCAAGUGCAAUGAACACAUGUUAUACAUCCAAAAAAGUCCCCCUCCCCUUUGUUUCUCUUUCCAACCAAGUCAAUGCCCUCUCCCACCAUCCAGCCUUUUUUGGUCCUCAAAACCCCACUCUAGUAUUAUUAUUAUUAUUAUUAUUAUUAUUAUUAUUAUUUGAUCCACUUCUCUCUCACCCAUCCCUCCAACUACUACCAAGUACCAACAAAGCAAUUAAGCAAAGAUCCUACAAAUUUUAAUGGCCCCCUUCAACUCUCCCCUUUUUUUUUCUAUCCAUUUCUGCAGACACCACUUGAGAGAGCAGCAGUCUCUCUUCUUGUAUUUAUAUUAUUAUUUUAUAUACAUUAUAUGUGAGUUUUCCUCAUCACUUCAGUCAAAGCUCUUCUUCUUCUUCUUCUUCUUCUUCUUCUACCCACUCUCACCUUAAUAAAACCCAUAUUUCUUUGCUCUUUGAUACCACAUCAUCAUGUUCAGUAAGGGCUCAAAAGAGCCUUCAUUGUUAGGGACUAGGGUUUUGUUGAUGGGUUCUCUUCUUUUCCUCCUCCUCCUCUUUUUCUUCAUACCAAACUCUUAUUCCUUCCCCUUAUGCACAGAUUCAUGUGGGUUUCUCCUCUUGUUCCCUUUUUUACUCUUGUACAUAUUACUCUCCUAGUAUUAUGCUCAUGUGGGUUGUGUUCUUUUUUUUGUUUUUUGUUGUUGUUAAAACCCUUUUUGGUGAGCAGGGGCACCUGAGACACUGAAGGUGCCACUCACCUUCUGUUCUUACAAUGGCAGCAGCUGCUGCAACGCCACGGACGACGCCGCGAUCGAGAAGCGGUUCAAAUCGAUGAAAAUCUCCGAUACCGCUUGCUCCUCCGUCGUCAAAUCCAUUCUCUGUGCGGUAAUUAACUAUUAUGCAGUUCUUGGUGAUUACUUGUUGGUUCUGUAGUUGAAAUUUGGCGCGCCCAAUAGUUUAAGCAGAAAAUUUGGAUUAAUUGGGUUUUUUUUUUAAAAAUGAUGGUUUUGGUUUAGUUUUGGGUGAUUGCUGUAGAUCUUACCGUUUGCAUAAGUGGCAUAGUUUUAGUGGCGUGGUGAAAUUAUCUUUUAGGAGGGAUGUUUGAACAAAAUCACAAUUCCAUAUUGUUUUAAUGCAUCAUCUAUCUAGUCUAGCUAGCUAAAUUAAUUCCUAUUUUUCUAGAGCCAAUCAAGUAAGGAUAUGGAAUUAAGGCCCCAAAUUUGUUCACCUAUCUCAUAGUUUUUCUUAACUGCUCACGGGCAUCUGAGUGGGUGGUCUUUGUUAACCAAAAGAUCGAUCUAGUAGGAAACAUGCCUUAGAAUAUACAUUAACCCCCCAACGUAUAUGCAUGAUGAGUAUGAAAGACACGUGGAAUUGAUAGGUGAGUACGGGACUGGGGGAAUUUAACCUGUUAAAUGAAGUUGGGGACCGAAUUCGAGACCUCACAGACUGAAGGGGUUUAAAAUUGGUUCUGAUGCCUCGUUACCCAAAAGAUUGAAUAGUCCUAAACUUAAGUAGGUCUAUUUUUCUUUUCCAUUCCGUUUUUGAGCUUUCUUGACCUAAUUGACCUUUACGAGCACGGCCUCUAGGCCUUAAUGCAUGUGACUUUAUGUAACAAAGUCAAUUUAAUUUAUGUUUAAAAGUAAUCCUUCCCUCUUAACUUUCUGAUUAGAUUGCAAGUUGAUUAAUUUUUAAUGAACUGCGUAUGUGGUGUAACCUCUUUUAUUCAUGGAAGUGAGGAUACACCCCAUUCAUCUUUCUCAAAAGUACAAAAGGUGAAGUGCUGAACUAUUAAUUUGGAUUUCAUCUAAAUCCAUCGCUGGUAUACUAGAUACUAUGUCUCAUUCUUUUGUGAAGUAGGAAUCCUCACUUGCCAUUUGGGUUUCAUUUUUCUUAAAAGAACUAGUUUAUCUAUGUAUCGAUUUGAGCUUCAGCUAUUAAAACCUAAAAUAUGAACAUGGUCUUCCCUUUUUAGACUGAAAUUCAUUUCAUGUGGCAGAACUGUGAUCCCUUCUCAGCUGAGCUAUUUGCAAUUGCACCGAAAUUUCGAACUGUUCCUGCAUUAUGCAACUCUACUGUUUCUGCAAGCUCCGCCCAGUCCAAGGAUUCCACAAGAGACUUUUGUACAGAAGUUUGGGGCACUUGCAAAGAUAUACCUAUAUUGAAUUCUCCCUUUCAGCCUUCUUUACAAGGAGGUGCUAAGCCACCAACUUCCCCAACCAAACUUACGGAUCUCUGGCAAUCACAGAAUGACUUCUGUGCAGCAUUUGGAGGCCAAUCAAGUGAUCAAUCAGUUUGCUUCAAUGGUAAAUCGGUUUCAUUUAACACUACAGAAAAUUUGCCAUCUCCUAAAGGUUUGUGUCUUGAGAGGAUCAGCAAUGGCUCAUACCUUAACAUGAUUCCUCAUCCCGACGGAUCAAAUCGAGUCUUUUUCUCUAGCCAAGCUGGCCAGAUCUGGUUGGCUACUGUUCCUGAACAAGGAUCGGGGGAAGCGCUGGGGAUCGAUGUAGCAAACCCAUUUCUUGAUUUAACAGAUGAGGUGCACUUCGAUACUGAGUUGGGACUAAUGGGUUUGGCGUUUCAUCCAGACUAUACAAGAAAUGGGCGUUUCUUUGUUUCGUACAACUGUGAUAAGGUUCAAUCAGCAAGCUGCUCAGGAAGAUGUUCGUGUAACUCUGAUGUGGGCUGUGAUCCUACAAAGCUCAGUCCAGAUAAUGGUGCUCAACCAUGCCAGUAUCAAAGUGUCGUUGCUGAGUAUAGUGUUAAUAGUUCCUCAUCAACGCCUUCCACGGUACGCAUAUGUAUACUUCGCUUUAGUGCAGGAUGUUCUUUUUAAACUGCAAAAGCCCCCAUGAAAAUAGUGCCAUUUGCAAUUUUGGCUCCAUAAAUAUAAUUACCAUAUUUAGUUCUAAAAUAUAAUAUAAAAUAACCAUCAUGCCCUUUACUUUUCGGAAAGAUCAUCUUUUAGGAAUUUUGGACUAUUAUCCAAAAGAUCGAUCUAAUAGGAAAUGGAAUAUAUUUAACACCCCAUUUGUGUGCAUGAUGGUACGUAGAUUUGACAUGUGAGGUGUCAGGUUUAAGAGAUAGGGAUUCAUUAGAAUAUAAUUUAGGAAUUUAACCUGUUAAAUGCUAAAGGUGGGAUCAAACCCAUGACCUCACAAAAUGAAGGGGUUUAGAAUUAUCAUGUUAAAAAAUGUGAAACAGCCACUUGUCUCUAGAAGCUUAAGCUGCCGUGAAUGUUGUCGUCUAAUAUUUGUAUUCAACAUGAGCAAUUCCUCAAUGAAAAAUCUGACAGGAAGCCACUUAGGUGCUAACAGUCUAAAAAUUAAGCAGAUAAAGCAUGCAGGUUUUCAUAUUUAGGAGGAAAAGUUAAAAAUGGCUCUAUUUUUCAGAGUUUUUUCUGCAUUUUAACCUUCUUGUUCUUCUAUGUUUUUCUUAAUAAUUUUUGUUAUUUUGAUCUGGUUCUUGAAUUAAAAGGUUCAGUUUGCCAACUUUCUUAUAGUUCUUUGUCCCAUUUGUUUUAGGCAGAAAGUGCCGUCCCAUCUGAAGUGAGAAGGAUUUUCACUAUGGGGCUUCCAUAUUCAACUCACCAUGGAGGGCAAAUUCUCUUCGGGCCUUCGGAUGGAUAUCUAUACUUUAUGUCGGGAGAUGGUGGAAAUAAGGGUGAUCCUUUCAAUUUUGCUCAAAACAAAAAGUCGUUGCUGGGAAAAAUCAUACGACUGGACCUUGAUAGUAUCCCAAGUAAGUCCUUGAACAAAAAUAGCUUUUGCAAAGACUGUAAGCUAAUACCAUUUUAUGGAGAGCGGAUAAUUCGUAGAUACAACAUUGAUAAAAUACAUAACACAGUUCCUAGUGGCAACAAAUAAUCUCAACUUACUCUCUUAUACUAAAAUUUUGUGGUCUCUUGGAGGUUGUCAAAUGUCCAUAUACUUUCUGUCUGAGAGAAGUGCCAGAGCUCCUACAUGUGUCCACAUGCAUGUGUUUGUGAUUGGUGUACAAUUGCAAGAAUGGAAAGGAAUGAAUCAUCUAUAAUUUUCAAAUAUGAUUGAUGUAAUUUAUUCAGCUAAUACAUUUUGUUACUUCUCUAAAACUUGUUGGCUACUUUUAUUCCUUGCAAUAGCUGUCUGAUCUCGAGAUUUGUCUUUAUUACAUCUUAUUACUUCUGUGCUUAAAUCAUCUUAAUUUAGAGCUAAGGUGGUAAAAAUGUUAGGCACUCGCCUGUUUGAUUUAAGAAAUCAGCUGUUCAGACAUGAUUAAGUUGCAUUCUCUUUUUGAUUUUUCAUAGAUCUUUUGAACUUCGAUUGCCAAAGUAGAAAACUGUUCAGUGAUGUUCAAAAUCCACAUUAGCUAUUCUUACAAGUAUAUCUAUAUUUGUUAUUAUAUCUUACUUGGGAUAUAAAUCUUUGAUAUUAUCAAAAUUGAUCAGUAGCUAAGCUCUUUGAUAACUCUCUUUCUCUUUUUCGUUGACAUUGCCAAAGCAGCUCUUAAUAAUCUUGACUUGCUGUGCUCGCUUUAUUUGAUUCUUUAAAUUUUUGGUAUGCUCCUAAAAAUGGAGUGGGUGAAUUGCACUAGUCCCUGAACUUUGUCAAGUUUUACUUUGGCCCCCAAACUGUUAGUUUGGACGUUCAGCACGUGAAUGUUUGGAACUGCUGCAUUUUAUCCUUGCCUUAGAGAGAGCCAUUAUUGCCUCUGUCUGCGGCAUCGAUGCAUCUGUCUGUCACAAAGUUAUCGGCCCUCCAUCAUUCUCAUAUUUGUAUUUCCAAAAGACAAAAGGCCACAACUCAACUGAUGGUAUUAAUUGAAUUAUUGGAAUAUGAAAUGGAAUUAAGGGUCGAAGAAUAUGUGGUGUACGGAUGCACUGCAUGCGAGCAGUGAUUAUUCAUCGGCAGUAAAUAAGGACCUGUGAAAUACUUUCAAAAUUUUAUGUUUUUCAAAUGUCUAACUUAAUUUUGGGGGCGAAAGUGAAACUUGGUAAAUAGUUGGGAACUAGCAGUGCAAUUUACCCAAAGGAAAUUGGUGACAUGAUCCUGAAUUUGCCUAGGUAAUAAAUUUCACUAUCCCAGCCUUGUUUCUAACAUUAGUUGUCUUUCAGGUCAGAGCGAAAUAAAUGACCUUGGUUUAUGGGGAAACUAUUCUAUUCCAAAGGAUAAUCCAUCUGCCGAUGAUAAUGAAUUGCAACCUGAGAUUUGGGCGUAUGGGCUGAGGAAUCCAUGGAAAUGCAGUUUUGAUUCUGAAAGGCCUUCUUAUUUCUUUUGUGCAGAUGUUGGCCAGGUACCAUUUCUAGGUUCUUUCAGAAUGUACCACAUUUCUAAAAUACCUGCCCUUAAAGCAUACAAAAGUACGUCACACGGUGCUCUUAAAGAAAUCAAGAUCUAAAAAAUUUAAUAGUAUCUUCUUGGUGCUGGCUGAGUAUUAUUUUGAUAGAACGUAGAACUUGGUUUUAAGGUAAAAGCCAUGUCUAGAGCAUUCCUUGAUUUGAAGAUAUUGCGUAACCAUAAGGUGAAAAACGAUUUUUUUUUUUUUUUUCUGGAGGACCUAUUAAGCAGAUACAGGCUAUCUCUUACCAACUACACGUAGCUCAGGAUCGUGGUAAAAUAUGUACCUGGACAAGAUGGUGUUAUGGCGAACGGAUUUGGUGUUUUUGUAUUCAGUGCAUUAGGAUUUUUGUGCCUUGUGCAUAACAUGAACUUCAAAACAAAUGGGGGAAAUCGAAUGAGUCUAGAAGCCUCAAAGACCAACUUGAGCCUUUCGCUCUAAUAUCAUGUGAAACAACCCUUUUUCUCUGAAAUCUUAAACUACUAGAGAACUGUGCUUUUAACUUUAUAGCUGGAGAUCCUACGAAUAAUGAAAAUUCCUAGAAAGGAGCUAAAUCAGGGGGGAAAAAGAUGUGGCAUUGAAUGUUCACCUAGCGAAGCAGGUUAUCCAACACUAUCUGCUUCGAACUAUAUAACUCAUGUUGUCGUAUUAUACAUUGUGUCAACUUUUUAGAGUAAAUCUAAGAAGGUUUUUUCUUAUAUCAAUCAUUAUCAAUAAUUAACUUCCAAUCAGCACUAUUCAGCAUUAGUUUAUAGAUUUAUUUUUAAUGUCCGAGAUCUUAUUUUAUUUAUUGCAGAAUUCAUAUCAUUCCUUACAUUAGCAAUCCUUGUUAACUAGGUAUUCCUAGUUUAAUCUCUUAACAGCUCUUAUGAUUGUAAUUUGUGUAAAAACAUAGGAAACAUAUGAAGAAGUUGAUCUGAUUUCAAAGGGUGGAAACUACGGAUGGCGUGUUUAUGAGGGCCCCAAUCUUUAUCAUCCACCAUGGACUCCGGGAGGGAAUACAUCGCUUAAAUCCAUAGAUCCUAUCUUCCCGAUCAUGGGCUAUUAUCACUCGACGAUAAAUAAGCUCGGAUCAGCAUCAAUUACAGGAGGCUAUGUAUAUAGGUCAUUGACCGAUCCAUGCAUGUAUGGAAGGUAUAUAUUGUCUCUCUACAAACUGUUCUCGUGCCCCUUUUUUUUUCUGGCAAAAACACAUGGAAACUGCUCAACUGUAGGACAUUUAAAAAGUAGGUCCCUAAAUAGUUCUAUCUUUUUUUUCUCUUUUUUUGUUUUCUUUGUGGGUUUUGAACCCAUAACUAAAAUGUUGAUUUCAGAAAAUUUGUUAGAAAUUAAUGUUCUUUGUAACUUGAUAGUUUCUAACUUAACAGACUAUUUUGUCGUUUGAUAGUAUAUUCUGUGAACUUUUGGACAAAAACCACUACAUUCUGAUAAAACCUAACGGAAUUUUCUGAAAUCAACCGAUGCAUUACUUUGGGUUUUCAAAUCCAACUAACUAAAAAAUUCAGGGGCCUAUCUCAGCUCCAUACUAUUUUUGCCUUUUUCACCAUUUAAACAAACUUAAGUUUCUAACUUCGAUGUUUUUAUGUGGAAUAUCAGGUACUUGUAUGCUGAUCUCUAUGCGACAGCCUUAUGGGCCGGCACGGAGACCCCUGAAAGCAGCGGAAACUACACGAGCACUAUGAUUCCCUUUAGCUGCUCCAAGAACUCUCCGAUUCCCUGUGAUUCUGUCGCAGGGAGCUCUCUCCCUUCUCUGGGCUACAUAUACUCAUUUGGUGAAGAUAAUAGGAAAGAUGUUUUUGUUUUGACCAGCAAAGGAGUGUACAGAGUUGUUCGACCGAGCCUCUGCAAUUAUACUUGUCCAAAGGAGAAAGUUACCAAUAAUGUCCCAUCGGCACCUGGCCCGUCUUCAUCAUCAGCAACCAUGUUACAUAAUCUAGCAGGGAAAGUUAAGGUGUACGUCUUUGCGUUCUUUCUAUUUCAAGUAUGUGUGCGCUUUUGAGUGAUCUUCGGAGGCAAAAAUUGGUGCCAACAUUUCCACUAAAGUCAUCGUUGCAGUUUCCACUAGAGAUUGUGUAAAAUUAAUACUGUAUAAUAUCAGAUCAGUUUCUCGUGAGAGAAUUUCUUGUCGCAGUUUGAUGCACGGGUUGUUCCUGAUUUUGAUCAGAUAGUGUAAGAUUGUCAAUUUUGCAUAUUUAUUUCCAUUAUGAGGUUAUCUUUAUGAGAGUUUGGUGAAUUGAUUAUGGCUAAUUUUAACUGCCUGUGUGAGUGGAAAAGUAGUUUUCUUUGAAAAAGAAAAUAUGUUGCGAGUUUGGACAGAUUUAUGGGAUGUUUUAUGGAGAGUUUUGUCAGAUAAGUUAACUUUGGGAAGAAUAUAUAGUUUCAUUCUGCAUGAAAAUAAGAAUCUUGGUUUGUUUAUAAUGUGUAAAGGUGUCUCCAGUUUCCAGCUACAAUUUCAAUGUUGGUUCAAGAUCUUUAAUAAUGUGUUAGAGUUUGGUUGUUGAAUAUAACUAUUAAAAAUACUGUUCUCUGGUAACUUAAAAGUUUUUUAGAGUGUUAUCGGUUUCACACUAUUUACUGUUAGGAUAUAUGUAAUAUGUUAGGAUAUAUUUAGUACUGUAUAUUUUUGACCAUAUAUAAAGGGUUAUAUGGUAUUAUUGCCGGGACAGCUUGCCUCAUAUACGCGCAUCUUAUACUAUUUAUAUUCAUUUAUAUCUUAUACUAUUUAUAUUCAUUUAUGAAGCCAUAGAGGGCCGCUCUUUUUUUCUUUAUUUAACAUAAUACCAGAGCAGCUGACUUGUCUCAAAAGUCUGGAGUCCUGACGUGCAGCAUAAAGUAGGCCAAGUUCAAGACUCUAAAACACAUCUAACAUAACUAGCAAAAUAACAAUCACAUUCAGACACCAACCGUCCCUAGAGUAAGUGGUAAAAGGCUUGACGGUUGGUAUCCGAGGUUCCAAAUUUGAAUCCUAGUUGAUUUACAUUUCUAGCUAAGUUUAUUUUCGAAUGAAAUAAACGAAGCGGGUAGCUAAGUUUAUUUCCAAAUGAAAUAAACGAAGCGGGUAGCGUCAAAAAAAAAAAAAAAACAAUCACAUUCAAUACAUGUUAGGCGCUACUAGUACGUGAUAUAAAACCAACGUCAUCAGAGAAAAACUGACGUGUGAAACCCUUGUAUAAGUUUGAAAGCGCUUGUUAUUGAAUAAGGUUGAACUUCAUGAAUAUAAUUGUAGCUAAUAAAGAGGCUCUAGUUCAACCCAAAAGCUUAAGCUGAUAGAUAGAGAAGCCCUGGAAUUAUAUAUAGGCCAAAAUUGAAAAUUACACGGAAUUAAUAUUCUUAAUAUGUGCCCGGCUCUACUAAUAUGUGGCAUGAAUCCAAUGCGAUUGUAUGAGAAUCAGACAAAAUUGAUUUGGAAAUUCCGGUCUAAGUCUACUAGUAAGUGGCAUGAAUCCAAUACAAUUGUAUAAGAAUCAAACAAAAUCGAUUUGAAAGAUCUAAGCCUAAAUCAGAUGAAAACUGGAUGAAUCAGUUUGAAAGAAUUGGAUGAAUAAACAAAAAUAUAUGGCUCUUUCUUAGACAGAUGUAACCUAUUUCUAAUAUUUCUUUUGAUUCCUUUGACCUUAUUUCCAAGAACCAAAUCGUCUGAGACAAUACAAACAUACAUACAUACAUGAACCACUAAUGCAUAAAAAAUUAGCAUAUCACAUAUACAAGGUAUACAUAUAAUAUAAAAUAGCAUUAAGCCUUACAAAAUUUGAACUCACAUAUGAGUUAGGUGACAUUCUAGAAGAGGUUUUAUUUGACUAAUAAUUGUUUCCUGCACGCGAGAUCAAUUCUAAAAUUAAUAAUCAUUGGGAGAAUCAAUAAUAAAUAGUUGAAUAAUAAAAUUAGAUUCUAUAUGGGGUAUGGUUAAUCUCAUUGAGAACCUAUAAAUAAAAAGAACCAUGAUGAAUCUGUGACUGGGUAGUUUCAUGAUAUUAUUUAAAAUUAAUAAACAUGUUGAUCUCUAUCUUUAUAGUGUUUUAAAUUUAUUUUUUUGGUCCAUCUUCUUUGCAACAAGAACAUAGAAUAUUUUCAAUCAUGCAUUAGCCUAAACAAUUGUUGUUUCAAAUUCCAUGCAUGUCUCAUAUUUUGAGUAAUAUAUUUGCAAGUAAUAGUAGUUUUCUCUUGAUUUUCCACAUGCAUGCAAACACUAAGACAUUUAUUUAGAGGUGGUCCACUCCCAGGGAUUUAGUCCAAAAAAUAAAAUAAAAUGGUAUUUUAAUAUUUUUAUAUUUAAUGUCAGAAAAUAGAAUUAGAUAUAAUAACUAAAUAAAAAGAAAUUAGUCAAAACAUUACUUGAGCAUGAAAACACUAAGACAUCCUCCUCUCGUUGUUCAGAUGAAAGUUAUUUUUCUUCUGCUGUUUAUUUAUAUACCUGUAAAACUGAAGUUCCUCCAAUUCUAAUCUUUGUUUAGUAGACAGUAAAUGACGAAAAAGUUGGAGGCCUGAGAAGGUAAAAUUAUGGUGAACGAAACAACAAAAGUGAACAUUUACGGUCAAAAAUCACUUUAACUCUCUUCACUUUGGAUGAAACAAAAAUGUACCCUAGUCAAAACAAAGAAUCAUUAAUAUCCAUUUUAUAAGGAUUUUGCUAGUAGCUUUUCUUUACAACAGAAGCAGAAGGUUGGAAAAUAAAAAUUUGCUUCAUGUGUACUUCAUAUUCUUUGGACUCUCAGUUUUGUUCUUACAUAAGAAGCUCCUAAAAGUCAAAGCCAAAAUGUCAAACAAACACCAGCCACAUCCACUACUACUCUUUUGAUUAAUUAUUUUGUAGGAUCAACUAGUUUUUUCCUUAAUUUAGGCACAUAAUAUGACCUAAAUGAUUUAAGUACCCCUAAUUUCCCCUGUCAUUUUCAUAUGUUAAGGCAAAAUCAGUACCAUUUUUGACCAACCUGAUUAGGUUUUCAUUCAUACUUAAUUAACCAUCUCUCUCUCUCCUUAAAAAUUCUUAUUGUUUCUUUACUUGCUUCCAUAAAGGGUUGUUUGACUUUCGAAAAAGCGUGAAAAAUUAGUUUUCCAAAAACAGUUUUCUAUGAACACUAUAAAAAAAAAAUCUCAUUAUAAAAAUACUUUUUUGACGAUGCUUAAGGAAAAUAACCCUAAGCGUCCCGACUAUACAGCAAAUAUCAAUACUUAAAAGCAUAUAAAUCGUUUAUUGUAUUAAACUAAUUUACUGAGAGAUAAAUAUAUUGCACUAUUAUUUUUAAAGCAUCAAAAAAUAUUUCACUAACGUAUAAUAUAAACGUUGGUAUAUACGUAACGACUCUUUAUUUAUCGACAUUUUGUUGAUACGUUCAAAUAUGAUGGUGGAAAUAUUUUGGAAUGCUUUUAAAUAUUAUUAAUUACCAAAACUGUCCUUAAAUGUUAUUUUUUUUAGUGAAAAAAAUCUUCUUUUCCAAUUUUUCACUCGUUUUGUUCUAAAAACACUAAUUUUAUAAAAUUUCAAAAUAAUUUCAAAAUAAUUUUCUUUGAAAUCAAAUGGACCAAUUUUUAAAAAAAAAUCAUAAAAAGUUAUUUUUAUCGGAAAAAAAAUUCUAGCCUUUUCAGGAAACAAAUCAGGUAGAAAACUGCAGAGAUUUAAUAAGCUAAUAAAGAGUUGCGUCACAAUAAACAAUGUAAGAUGAAUAUAUUUAUGAAGUCCAGCUAUGGUGCUUUUAAAAUCACCAAACAGUUGGUGCUCGUAAAUUUUCCGCCAUUAGAUCUACUCUUUUGACUAUUUUUGUCCGUUAAAUUAUAUUAUUCAACCAACUAUCCACUCAACCCUAAAAGAUCACUAUCAUUCCAAUCGCAUGUAUUUUAAUCUAAGGGUCUAAGACCUACAAGCACUAAUUACACUGUCGAAAGUAUAGGAGCUCAAUUCUACAUUUACUUUAGCAAAAGUAUUUUUGAUUAAAUAUUAGAAAAAACUUCAAAAACCCCCCUGUGGUUUCGUAGUUUCUUACUUUGCCCCCCUGUGGUUUAAAAUGUAUCAAAUUGCCCUCCUGUUGUUUCGUUUUUAUUUUUUCGGUAGCUUUUUCGUUAAUAUUUCAUUAAAUUAUAUAUAAAAAACUUCAGAUACCCAUCAAGAUUUAUCAAAUAUUCACUUUAGUACCCUUUAAUUUUAACUUUAUCACUGAUUUAAGAAAAAAAAAAUAAGAAAAUUGAAAAGAAAAAGAGAAAAAAGAAACCACAGGGGGGCAAAUUGAUACAUUUUAAACUAUAAUUACUGAUCAAUUAAUAAUAUACAUAUUUGUUUUUAGUUCCAUUUAAAUCCUAAUGGUAGGACAGUAGAUAGCCAAAUUAUGAUCCCCAAUUAAUCACCAACCAAAUUAAACAAGAUCUUGGUUAGUUUAAUGCCUAUCUCAAUUCCCACCUGCUUUAUAUCCAACCCUAGUUCCCUACUACUCCAAAUUAUAUAUUCAUCUCCCCUGAAUUAAUAAGACACCAUUCUACAUUGCAUUUUCUUAAUUAAUCACAACAACUCAAUCCAUAUUUCCCCAGUUGUGGCAUAAACCCUACUUAUUUGUAUAUAUAUAGUUUCAUGCCCUAUUAAAAACAUUGAGAAAUUAUUGCCUGCACCAGUGUACACAUACAUUCCAUGCACCACACUUAAUAUUUGAUGAUUAAUAUUUUAAAAUUUAAAAUGUAAGUCGAUAAACAUUACUUAUUCCAUCUAAAGAGUCAAUGCAUAAAAUAUAUUAUAGAAUUUUAAAUAUUUAUAUAGCUAUUUUAAAUAUUAUAGAAUUUCUUAAUGGGUUAAAACUUGAUUUUGAGACAUCAAUUGCAUGCUAUUUUAAGGGUGUUAGUUUACCCAAAAAUGCACUGACAUAUUAAAUUUUUAUUAUAAUUUGUACAUGGUAAAAAUAAUUCGGUUAAUCUUUAAAUAUUCCUCAAUUCAAAGUCCAAAUUCAAAAGUUUGCUUUAUCCACUGCUGAGGCAUGUUAUAGUCUGUUUGGAAGCAAAAGUAAUUAGAAAUCUUUUAAAAAAUAUAGCAUAUAUAACUCACAAAUUAUUGAAUUUUGCUACACCCAUGUAUAAUUAUAUGCAUAUAAAACUAUAUCAUCUGUAUAAUUUAUGGUGAUAAAAAUGAGUGACGUCAAAUUCAUGCGGACAAAAAUUAAUAAUUUUGGAUACUUAAUCUUGGUUCGUGUUAGGUUGAAUUAUAUUUGUUCAAAAUGAAUUAAAAGAUUGGAUUAGAUUUUUUUAUGAACAUAUCAUUUGACCGAAGUUAGAAUAAAAUUAUUUAAUUUGGCAUAAGUUAAAAUUCUUUUGGAAGAGAGAGUUUAAUUAAUAUAGAGUAGCUCUCAUAAAAUGGUGAUUUAUUAUUAAUCAUCGUUUAUUGUAAUUAUUAUACUAUUCAUGAUAGGACCAUUUAGACCAUCGAAUUAAAAUCUCUCACAUUAAAUAUUACUAAAAUAUUGUGGGACGUGUAAGUAAAUCUAUUAUCUAUUAUCUAUUAAACUAUAUGAAUCCUCAAUAUUUGUUGCCACGUGGCAAAUUUUUCUUCACCCUCACUAGCAUGUGACUCAUCUUCUUUCCAUCACUAAAUUUUUAAUAUGUAUUUUAACGGUCCAUUAACCAAACUUUCAAUUAGUGCAUUUAAAUGAUCCCACUACCAUCCCUCCACUAUACUUUCAAUUAAUGUAAAUGGCUCUACUACCAAACUUUCAAUUAGUAUAUUUAAAUGGUCCUACUACUAUCUACUAUCCUAAUCUCUCUAUCUCUAAUUAUUCAUCAUAUUCGCUAAAUUUUCAAUAUGCAUUUUAACGGUCUCAUUAAUCAAACUUUCAAUUAGUGCAUUUUAAUGGUCCCACUACCUUCCCUAUACUAUACUUUCAAUUAAUGUAAAUGGUUUCACUACCAAACUUUCAAUUAGUAUAUUUAAAUGGUCCUACUACUAUCUACGAUCCUAGCCUCUCUAUCUCCAAUUAUUCAUCAUGGCCCCUUUUCCUUCUUCUACCGAACUUUCAAUUCUUUAUCUCCGAUUUGUUCAUCAAUUCUCUAUCUCUCAUCUUUAGCUAUACACCAUCGCCUCCUUCCCCCGCUCCCUCUCUCUCUCUCUCACUAAUGUGCGCCUAAUUCCUUCUUCCGCCGCGGUCGGAGAGAUCGUCGUCGCCGUCACUAUCACAAUCGCUGGAGAAGGCAUCGUCGGGUUCAUAUUUGCCG